GGCUGUAUGGUGCAAUGACUAGCACACUCUCAUAAAAAUUUCAGGGAGAGAUGUCGGUUCAAAUCCGACUGCGGCCC